UAGAGGUUCCCGCCGGUUAGCUGAGGACUUAUAAUCGCGAUAACAGGAAACGAGAUUUUGUUGCCCAGUGCAAUGAAAGCGCAGAGCUGCGUACUGCAUACCUGGGUCAUUAUUAACGCUGCUUGUUUGCUUUCACGCUGCGCUGCGGAUUAACUGGGCAAUGGAUAGCAGGAACGUAUCAGAAAAGGUACCGGCUUUUGAAGAGCCCUUAUGCCAGCCAGCCAAGAGGAAUGAGGUCACUGCAUGCCCGACAAGAAAAUUCAAGGCACCCGAAAACUCUACAGCGGAACAGGAGUCAGGCAAAGGAAGGCAGCAGCCUCCCCCUGAAAAUCAAUCCAAGAAUUGAGCGAAGACCAGUCUUACUGGGUCUUGUCGAUAGAAUCUUCACAAUUCAAAGGUCUGCACAUCUGAAACCAUUUGCUCAAAGCCACAUUAAAGUCUACCAGCAACCUUUUAA